GUAACUCAGAGGUAGAGGAUCUGCCUUGCAUGCAGAAGGUCCAAGGUUCAAAUUCUUGGUGUCCUCA